ACCCAUACAAAUAUAAACAACAAUAAAAGAAAAAUCUCAUCCGGACACCCAUAAUAAGCGACUCUUCAUGUCUUGAACUUUAAAUUCAAAACCUGCUAAACAGAAUAUACCAAAGACAAGAUCAUAACUAUAUAGAUAGCAACAUAAAAGUUAUUCAUAGCAAAACACACGAAUUUUCAAACAAGUCAUAGAACAUACAAGAUCACACAUUGAGAAAGAAAGGGAUAGGGAAACUAACCCGGAUGCUUCCUUUUAUUUGUUUCAACCAUACAAUCAUGCAUAAUGCAAAACGAAAUAUACACUAGUGAAGAGAACUAACCAAUUAAGCAGAAAAUAGUUAUCAGCAGUGCAGACGAACUUAAUCCGAGACUAGACUCGAACACAACAAUACCGAGUAAAGAUAGCUCUUAGAAAUGUUCGCCCAAUUUUAAAUCUUUAGAGUAGAGAGUAUUUUAUGCUCUUGUUAGAAAGUAUAAGCAUGAGUGAGUAGUCCGUAGAGAAUGAGGGAAAAGGUCUGAUUUAUAUAGCAAAAUGGGGGCACGGUUUAAAGGAAAAUGUAUCAAUUAAUUAUUACUAUUCCUUAUUCAAAGGGAGAACCGAUAAUCAGUCUAUUGACAAGAGGAAAGAAUCAUCAUUUUACCCAAAAAAUACGACAGGUAAGACUCUAUUUAAGAAAAUAAUUAAGGAAGGAGGAAUCAUUUACAACAACCAUCUAUUAAUAUUAAAUUCAGCAGUAGAAAAUUAUAAGGAAAGAAGUAGUACACGUUUUUUACUCAUUAUUAAAAAUUACCAUAGACAGAAAAGUCCAGCAAACUACACCGAAUUACAGAAGCCUAAAUCAAGCUAAGGAGCAAUUUGACCAAGCAACUAGCUAAAUUACCAGAUUUAAGGAAUCCUAGCAGAUAUGGGGAAAUAAUUAACAAGUCAAAAUUACACAUAUAUUAAAGGGAACAUAUCGAUAAUGUAAAAUAUCAAAGGAGAAUCAAAUAAUUAUUUUAGGAAGAACAAAUAUGAUUCAAUCGAUUAAGGCUUAAAAUGAUUUUAUUUAUUUUUUUACCAUGGAGAGAGACAUGUCGGAUAUACACAAAUUUGGUUAGAAUAAGGAGGUCAAUUAAGAAAUCAUCACCACAUCUUAAAUAAUAUUAUUUCCUUAGCAAAUAACUUUUACUAUAACAAUCACAUACAUCAAUUAAAGGUACCCGAUCAACAUAAAAUCAGUUACCAUAAACGGAGAAAGUAGAUUGCAGCAAGGUUGAAUUAACACAAUCAUUGCAUAUGAGCUAUCAAGCUAAACAAAGGAAUAAUCAAUUCAAAGACUAUCACAAUUAAGAGAAUCAAUUGUUAAACCAAAUUACCGAUUUAGCAUAUAUAAAAAUUUAACAGGCCAACAUAAGCAUUGAUUAAGGAGCACAUUAAAGGAAUUAACCGGCAUUAAGACUGUUAACCCAUUUACACAGAACACAAACAUAUUCAAGCAUAUAACAUAGUGAGGGUGAUAUGAGAAGAAAUUUAAAUCAACCUAAAUCUGCAAAUGAUAAAGUAAAACGAGCAAAUGUCCGGAGGGUCUUAACGAUUCAUGCUUAGAACAAGAUAGAUAACUAUUAUUGAUAAUAUAUCACAAAAAAUACAGAUGAAAUUAAGAAAAAUUAUUAAAAGUGAAUAGUAAUUUAAACAAGGGCAAACUCGGACGGAUCUGACGGGAUCCGUCUUGUACGAAAACUACAGCACUUCGAGCUUCGCAGGAAUCUCGUGAGGCUACUCGAUUGUUGUUUUCACUCGCAACUGCUGCUGGCUGUCGAUGGAUGUGCGUUGGUCGCUGUUGUUGCUGUUGCUGUUGUUGUCGCCGGCUGGAGCUGUUGUUGCUCUCCUCGCCGGCUGCUGCUGUUGAUUUGUUGGGGCUCGCUGACCGGAGCAGUUGUGGGAGAGAGAGAGAAGCAAGCUUUUGCUGAUUGGAGAGACGAGAGGGAGACGACAAUUUAUCUCGCCAUUCUCACAGAAUAGAAGAGACGGGAAGGAGCAAGGAGAGAAGAGAAAGGUGAGGGGAGGAGGGCGAGGGAGAGCUCACCGGCGAUGGUGGAGCUCUCGCCGGUUCUCACUGAUGAAGGAGUUUCCGGCGCUGCUAGAGAGAAGAAAAGAAACAGUUUUCAAAAUAGGGUUUGGUCUUUUAGUGUUAAAAUAGGAAAGAUGGAAACUUUGAUCUUGACCAUUGGAUCAGUUUAGAUGAGCGGCUAGGAUUGAUCUAGGGUUUAAUUUAAAGGAUGGACGGUUGAGAUUAAAAGAGAAUUAAAUCUGAUUUCGGAAUAAGAAUAGGCUAAAAUUCAAACUAAAAUUGAUAUAAGAGGUUAUAAUUGAAAAACGAAAUUGGAUUGAGGUGGCUGGAAUUGAAAUGGAUUAGAAUAGAAUAGGCUAACAUUUAAAUAAUUUUGAGGGAAUUUAAAGAAAUGCUAUCCAAUUAAAAUACUACAAAAUAUUUAAAAUACUUAAAUUUUUAAACAUUUGAAUUAUUUCGAGUUUUACUAAUAUUUAUAGUAUUCACAAUAAUUUUUAUAAAACAUGCAUACUAAAUAUAUAUUUUUUAGACAAAAUUGAUUAAAAUUUUAAACCUAAAAUAUGUUUUAAAAAUACGUAUUUAAUCGAAAUUUCAUACCCUGACCCUGUGACCCACCCCUCACCCCCGUCAAUCUUUUUAAAAAAUAAAAUAAAAUUGACAAAUAUUUUAGGGUCGAAAGUCUGAAUUAUUAACUCGUGCUAUUCUGAAUAAUGACAAACUUAAUUCAUAUCGCAGGAAAUCAAGGAACAAGAUCUAGAGAAUGAUAUGGAUCAGCAGCUUCACCCAAGGAGGCAGAUGGAUUCUGGAUACUGAUACAAAUCAGCAGCAUCCACCAAGGAGAUAGAUUGAUACAAUCAAACAAUCUAAAAGAUUGACUCAAUAAGAUAUCAUCCAACUAGAAGACCACAUCAAUUCGCAUGAAGCCAAAAAGGAAAAGGCAAGUGUUAGACAAUCAAGAUGACAAGUAGAUCAAGGAAGAUCACACUGUGAUACCGAGCAACAAGCCAAGAUUCACAUCAGACUCUGUUUCAAGGCAGAAGUUUGAGUGCUGCAACCUAAUCAAGGAAAAUACACACUUAAUCAAAGAAACAUUACAAACCCUUGAUUGAAGGAAACUCCCUUGAAUUUUUCUAUUAGAGCUAAAAUCAUGACAUACUCAGCAUAUAAAUAAAGACCCGAAUCAACAGCUGAAAGUGCGCAACUUCACUUGAACUUAUAUUAUAAUCUUCUUUCAUCUUUCAUAAAGUUUUGUACACUUUGAGUGUACAAUUGAAAAAAAAAAAGAGAAGGAAAGAUAUUGAGUGUAGGUUAUACAGGUAGAUGUCGUGUCAAGAUAGAAACUAUGAUUUGCAUAUCAGACUGGAUUCAAGAUCAAACUCACUGUACAACCACAAUUUUCUUCAAGAUCUAAAGGAAACCCUUGAAACCCAAGGGAAUUGGAAGUAGGCACCACAUCAGUGUUCUGAACCAACAUAAAACAUCCUGUGUCAAUUUACUUUAUGUAUUUACUCUUAUUUUAUACUGUGAUACUAACCUGUAGGUGAGUCGACUAAAGAAAUUUUUAAUUCACCCCCACCCCCUUAACUUUCAUGGGUCAGGUCUUGGGUCAGAUUUCAGGGUCGGAUUUUGGAACGGUCGUCGAAGUCGUGUCCUAGUUUGGGUGUUAGGGUCGGGUCCUUAAUCGAUUAUCGAGGUUGCUUUUCGGGUCAGAAAUUAUUUUUCUAAAGAGUAUUUUGUUGUCUCAAGACAAAAAUAAAAGAUAUUUUCUAGAAAUGUUUUUCAUUCACUAACCAAAUAUUAAAAAAUAUUUUUUCUUCACCAACCAAACAUGAGAAAUCAAGUUAGAAAUCCACUUGUUUUCCAAGAAACAUUUUUUUGAAAAACAUUUUCAUUUGUACCAAACACAUCCUUGGAGAACUUCUUUUUCUGCUUCUGUCGUCUUAUUGACAAGGCUGCCACUAAGGUCAAUUGGAUUGAUAGUUAUACAGAAGUAAGUGACAUAUUUGUAGUUUUGUAUUAUUUCAAUAAUUGGGACUUGGGAGAAUGAAGGAAGACUCCAAAAAAAGUUAUUUGCACUCAACUUAGAUGAGGGUAGCUUCAUUAUUAACUUGAAUCAGAAUUGAAUUCAAGGAUACAAUCAAAUUCUGAAGUGAUAUAAUAAUCUUGAUAUACUAUUGCUGAUCCAACUCAAAAAUAUAUAAUUCAACUCUAAGUUAAGCAAACGAGAUCAAAUUUUAAGUAGCGUAUUUUGUGUUCUCACAAUGAUUAACAAUUACAAAUAUGUAUCUAGUUCAAAUAAUCUUAUGGUUAAACCUAUGCUGUAAUUUUUCAUCAAGUGUCCCCUAAUCCCCCAGUAAUCCUUAAGAAGGUUGGAAUUAAUUUCUUUGUCACUUUACUAAACUUUAAUUUGAUUAUAAAAACAUUACUUGUCGUUCUAAUUUGGAGUUAGAAGCUUAAAUGGUCAUUUAACUUUAAGUAAUUGGUCAUCGUGCUCAAUUUUGUUGUUUUUCAAAAGUCACUCAACUUUGUCACUUAAAACCCGUUUGGAUUGAUUUAAAAAAAAGUAGCCUUUGAGUCAAAAAUAAAAGUCAAACUUAAAUGACUUUUAAAUAAAAAAAUAACUUAAAUGAUUUUUUAAGUAAAAAAAUAAAAAGUAGAGGAGACCUACUUUUGGUUUUUAAUUUAUUUUAAGUCAUUUUAAAUUUAUUUUAAGUUAUUUUUAAUAUUGUCAAACACUUCCUAACUUAUUUGAAGUCAUUUUUUUGACUUAUUUUAAAUUAUUUUUAUAUUUGUCAAACCCUUUCAGAAGUCAAAAACUGAUUUAAAAGUAAAUUUGACCAACUUUUAUGUCAAUCUAAACACUCUCUUAGUUAGCUUUCAUGGUCAUUAUUUCCAGAAAUAUAACUUUCGAUACCUAUUUAAUGAUGUUCAUGAAACUGUAAGUUUUUAGAAAAAAAAUAAAUUUAAAAUUAAAAUCAAUAUUUAAUUAUUGGAUUCUCAGUCAAUUUUUUUAAUUAUAUUUUUGUUCUUUAAUUUUUUUUUCUUCUUGUUCAUUAAUCGAAUUUAAUAAGAUAUUGUCUUGGGUGUGAGUAUUUUGGAUAUGUUGCGGGAUAUACUCAAACAGUCACAUUCAUCAAUAAGGUGUUAUUAAUGUAUCUUUUAGAUUUUUCUUGAGUAAUGUGAUUAAUGAAGAAAAAUUAGCAUUUUAAAAUAAUAAUAAUAAUAAUAAUAAUAAUAAUAAUAAUAAUAAUAAUAAUAAUAAUAAUAAUAAUAAUAAUAAUAAUAAUGAGAUAUCCAUUUUUUAAAUUUAAAAAAACUACCUUUUUCAAAAUUUGCGGAAUUAAUUUUUAAAAAAUUUCAAAAAUUGUGAAACCUUAAAACUUCUAUAGUAUCAAAAUGAUGAUAUCAAUCAAUUAUAUAAAAUACGAAUUUGACUAUGUAAGUAUCCUGAUAACAUAUUUAAAAUAGUCAUAUUCAAAACAACAGCUUAUUAAUUCAAUUAAUGAAGAAUAAUGAGAGAGAGAAAAUAAAAAUAACGCUAAGAUAAAAUGCUUUAUUGAAUUAUAGAAAACACGAAUUUAACUAAUUUAGUGUAUCCCGUAACAUAUCUAAACCGUUCAUACUCACAACACCACCCUACUAAAUUCGAUUAACGAAGAAUAACAAGAAAAAUAAAAACAAAUUAAAGAGCAAGAAAAUAAUAUGUAAAAAAUUGACUUAGAACACAAUAAUUAAAUAUUUGUUUUAAUUUUUUAAAGUGUUUUUUUCUAAAAGUUUACAAGCUUUCCCGUCAUUAAAUAGAUACCAAAAAUUACAUUUUUGGGAAUAAUUACCAUAAAUGUUAACUAACUAUCCAAAAUUGAGUGACCAUCCAAGCUUCUAACUCUUCCAUUUUACUUCCUCCGUUCUUUUUACUUGUUACUGUAUGACUUGGCACAUCCAUUAAGAAAAUAAUUAUUGAUAUAUGUAUUUUACCAAACUUUCCCUAUUGAAUGGUACCUGUUUAGUAUUAGGUCUUAGAAAAUGAUUUGGAGAAUAAAUAUUUAAAGCUAAGGGUAAAACAUGAGAAAAAUUAAUUAUUUUUUCUUGAAAUAUCAAAAGUAACAAGUAAAAAUGAAAAAUUUAUCUUAGGAAUAAAUGACAAAUAAAAAUAAACGGAGGAAGUAACUCACAUCAAUUAAAAUUUUCCUUGUCCUCAAGGAAGAAAAUUUCGAAAAUAAACCAAUAGUGUUGAUAAUCUUCCCAAGUAGCCUGGUGUGCAGGUAACUUAUCCCAUUGAAUUGAUUCUUGGCCCACAACCUUGUCUCCCUUUUGUACCAUGCACCGAUGCAAGAUAUUUUGAGGUUAAGGACAAUAUAAUAAUUAAUUAGGACUUGAAAGCUCAAUUACAUGUACAUCAGAAAUAGUGUCAAGCAAGCUAUGACAAAACAACUUCAAAAAAUGAUGACCAUACAUAGAAAUUUUAUCUAUAUAUAUAAGGUUGUAUCUUUAGAUGGACUUGAUUUCCCCUCCUAAAAUUGUCUUAUCUGAUUUUUGUUUGUUAUGGUUGAAAAUUAUUUUCAGUUAUUGGAGUAAUUUUCAUUUUAGUAAAAUAAGGUGUAGGUUUAUAAUGAUUUGAAUUUUAAAUUUGUUGAAAUAUUAUAGAUUUUUAAUCUUUUAUAAUUUUCAAUUGACACUAAAAAAAAAAAAAAAAAGAACCUUUUUGUGGCGACAAAAAUCGCCACGGAAAGUCAAAAUAUCGCCACGAAUAACCUGUUGUGGCGACCACGGAUUGUUGGCUAUAUACUACGUGGCUGAUACUUUUCCGUGGCACUAACACAAGUCGCCACCAAAGGUUUAGUUUUUGUGGCGAGUAAUUCCACCACAAAAAUGUAUUAAAGUGCCACGAAAAUCACCUAACAAAAACGUAAAAUAUUGGGAAAAAGUGAAUAAUUAUUUAGUUUUUUAAUUCAAUUAUUUAAUGACAAUUACAAUACUCAACUUCUUUUCGAUAUUACUUCAUCCCAUUGUUUUUUAUUUUAUUUUAGUUUUGCUCUCUCGGUGACUCAAACUCACAACCUUAAGGAGCUUACCAUCCGAGCAACUCUCUCUUGUCUGCCAAUAUUUAUUUUAUUUUUAACUUCAUUCACUUUUUUCAAAUUUAACUUCUACGAAAAUAAUAUAGUAUAUCAUCAUCUAUACAUAUACACAAACAAACAUACGAAAAUUACCACCCAUAUUUCAUUCAAAUUUAGACUAGAUUUGAUGUCUGCCAAUAACUAGCAAGAGUUUUCAUGAUAAAUUUUUCUCAAUAUAAACAUGAAAAAACUAAAAAAACAACAAUAAUAUUGAUAGUAAAAAGAGUAAGGAUAACAAAAGCAAAAGAAACAACUGUAGAAAUUAAUGGAAGAUAAUGAUAAUAAUGAAAUAAUUAAUACUAAGAAGGAGAAGAGGGAGCAGAUAAGGUCCACCAAACUAGAAACAUGAUUUCCCACAAAGAAGGGAAAUCAUUCGACUAUGUAUACCUACUAACCUUCUAUUCAGGGGUGGAGCUAUUCUUGCACGCUCAAAAGGUUUCAAGAGACACGUUUUUGUAGGAAAAUUAUAUUGUACAAGUAUUGACCUCCUCUUGACAUAAGUAAUUAUGCCUUCAUAUUUGAUGUUUGCAUCAUAUAUAUAUAUCACUCCUUUAAUAUCGUAAUCAACGUAUUUAUCUGUUUCAGACCAAAACUUAUUAGUAGUGAUUCUCGUAAAACAGAUUUACCAGAAUUAACUCAAAUAUGGUGUUGACACCAUCAUUAUGUACCAAAACAGAAUCAACAUGUACACCAUCAACAUCUAAAAAAAAAAACUCAUGAAUGAUACCAAAAAUUAACAUAAUUACACCAAAAUAGAAAAAAUAUGUGCACCAUCAUCAUGUACAAAAAGAAAAAAAAAACUAUGAACGAAACCAAAAAAAUCAGAAUUACACCAAACACCAACUAUGAACGAUAAAUUUCACCAAAUCACAUACCAAAACACAGAAUCACAAAAAAUCAAGUUUGAAUGACACCAAAAAUACCAGAAUCACACCAAACUAAUAAAAACGAUCUAUUUCACUAAAUCAAUUACCAAAACACAUAAGCAGUAAAUAUGAUUUAUAUUCUAAACCCCAAAACCAUACAAAACAAACAAAAUGAGUUAAAAAAGAUUCUGAAAACACGGAAUUAGUGAGAAUUAAAAAAUAAAACAAAACAGAAACUCGAAAUUGGUGAAUAACAACAACAAACCAUUUUUCAACAUUAAUUAUACUACUCGUUAUUGAUAUAAUUUAAUUUUAUAAAAUUGGUUUUUAACGUUGUUUUUUCGAUUGUAACACAAAAAAAAGCCCAUAUCAAACAUGGUAUACUACAACAUAAUCAUCAUGAUUAUUAGAUAAAUCACGUAAAAAAACACAAAUUAAAUAUUGAAUUAUCAAUAAUACCUGAUGCGUCUCAACGUUCUUUAUGUUGAAUUAGGAUUGAAUAACUGUUGGUAUCCAUGAUUGAUCUGUCGACCAGAAUGAGUAGAAAGAGAGGUUUUUUAUUUUUGUCAAGAAUCCUUUUAUUGAUAGGAGAGAAUAUAUAUAACCAAUUUGAGAAAAUCAUGG
rnacentral:lncRNA from 1 species